AUCGAACGCUGGCGGCAGGCCUAAUACAUGCAAGUCGAGCGGAGCGGCGGACGGGUGAGUAAUGCCUAGGAAUCUGCCUGGUAGUGGGGGAUAACGUCCGGAAACGGGCGCUAAUACCGCAUACUAUCAGAUGAGCCUAGGUCGGAUUGGCUAGUUGGUGAGGUAAAGGCCUACCAAGGCGACGAUCCGUAACUGGUCUGAGAGGAUGAUCGGUCACACUGGAACUGAGACACGGUCCAGACUCCUACGGGAGGCAGCAGUGGGGAAUAUUUGACAAUGGACGAAAGCCUGACCCAGCCAUGCCGCGUGUGUGAAGAAGGUCUUCGGAUUGUAAAACUCUGUAAGUUGGGAGGCGUUACCAACAGAGUAAGCACCGGCUAACUUCGUGCCAGCAGCCGCGGUAAUUC
rnacentral:rRNA from 1 species